GGGGCCGUAGUCUAGCCUGGCUAGGAUGCCGGCCUGGGGCACAAGCCCCGUCCAGAGCGCCGGUGAACCCGGUCGUGUGCUCAAGCGCACGGGGUAAGUUCAAAUCCCGGCGGCCCCACCA
rnacentral:tRNA from 1 species